rnacentral:rRNA from 1 species
GACGAACGCUGGCGGCGUGCUUAACACAUGCAAGUCGAACGGAAAGGCCCUGCUUUUGUGGGGUGCUCGAGUGGCGAACGGGUGAGUAACACGUGAGUAACCUGCCCUUGACUUUGGGAUAACUUCAGGAAACUGGGGCUAAUACCGGAUAGGAGCUCCUGCUGCAUGGUGGGGGUUGGAAAGUUUCGGCGGUUGGGGAUGGACUCGCGGCUUAUCAGCUUGUUGGUGGGGUAGUGGCUUACCAAGGCUUUGACGGGUAGCCGGCCUGAGAGGGUGACCGGCCACAUUGGGACUGAGCUACGGCCCAGACUCAUCCGGGAGGCAGCAGUGGGAAAUAUUGCACAAUGGGCGGAAGCAUGAUGCAGCAACGCCGCGUGCGGGAUGACGGCCUUCGGGUUGUAAACCGCUUUCGCCUGUGACGAAGCGUGAGUGACGGUAAUGGGUAAAGAAGCACCGGCUAACUACGUG